CUCCUCCCAACCGCACCUCCAAGCACCCCUAUCCUUCCAGCCGCACCUCCAAGUACCUCCAUCCUCCCUUCUUCCAAUUGCACCUCCAAACAUCUUCUCCUUCUUCUCUCUCUUCCAAGGAAGCUCGAUUUUUCUCCAUCGAUCUUCUCCAACCAAGAUCCGACGAGGGUGCCCGAUCUCUCUUCAUCGGUCCUCUCCAACCAAAAUCUACCGAUGGCUUCUCCAACUUCCUGGAUCCGAAGAGAUCAAUUUGAAUCUAACCCUUUUCUCUUCAACCAAGAUUCGGAGAGGGUACACAAUCUCUCUUCACCGGUCCUCUUCAACUAAGAUCCAGUGGGGGUGUUCGAUCUAUCUUCACUGGUCCUCUUCAACCAAUAUUCAACGAUGGCUUCUCUAUCUUUGUGGAUCCGACAACUCCACUCGAUGAUCACCACCAUCACGUCUGGCAUCUAUCGGUUCUCCGAGGUAAAUUUCUUUCCUAACCAUCCCGCUUUCCUUAUCGACCAUCAUUGGACCUUCUCUUCAUUGACAGUAAUUGGUCCAACCCAAAGCCCACCAUCCUCGGUUUGAUUCUCGAUCCAUUCACACCUUUCAGGCCUAAUCAUGGGCCUCAGUUCAAGUUCGGCCCAAGCCACAGCCCAAGUCUUGAACUGAGGCCCAAUUUUUAUGGACAACCUAUGCCAAUCCCACUGGAUUGGCUCUGGAUGUUUUUGGGCUAUUCCACUCCACAGAUGCUUGGCGAAGACGAGUGAUCUAGCGGACAAC
rnacentral:lncRNA from 1 species